CCUACGGGAGGCAGCAGUGAGGAAUAUUGGUCAAUGGCCGUAAGGCUGAACCAGCCAAGUCGCGUGAAGGAAGAAGGAUCUAUGGUUUGUAAACUUCUUUUAUAGGGGAAUAAAGGUAUCCACGUGUGGAUAUUUGCAUGUACCCUAUGAAUAAGCAUCGGCUAACUCCGUGCCAGCAGCCGCGGUAAUACGGAGGAUGCGAGCGUUAUCCGGAUUUAUUGGGUUUAAAGGGUGCGUAGGUUGUUUUUUAAGUCAGCGGUGAAAGUUUGUGGCUCAACCAUAAAAUUGCCGUUGAAACUGGAAGACUUGAGUGUGUUUGAGGUAGGCGGAAUGCGUGGUGUAGCGGUGAAAUGCAUAGAUAUCACGCAGAACUCCGAUUGCGAAGGCAGCUUACUAAGCCAUAACUGACACUGAAGCACGAAAGCGUGGGGAUCAAACAGGAUUAGAUACCCCAGUAGUC
rnacentral:rRNA from 1 species